UGUGGGAUCUUCCCGGACCGGGGCACGAACCCGUGUCCCCUGCAUCGGCAGGCAGACUCUCAACCACUGCGCCACCAGGGAAGCCCCAGGCCAGUAUUUCUUAAACUGGCGUCAUUGCCUACUAGAAAUCUACAGACAUAAUCUUGAGUUCUGGGAGAAUUUAAAAAUGCUGUGUUUUCACUUUGAUGAUCAAAACUGCUAACAUGAGGUUAGGUUUGGAGAUACAGGUCCAUUAUUAUCUUGUGAUUCUUAUGGACGCACAGAAGUGACAUCAAUUCGCCAUAUAUGUAGAGGCAAUAUUUGUUGUAAAUGGAUAUAAAUCAACUUUGCGCUAAGAAUUCAGAGUUACUUAACUCUCUCUCUGCUCAUUUCCUCAUCUUGAAGUUAUUUUAACCAUGCUAUUUACCUUGGUGAAUUCCACAAAUAUCUAUUGAUUACUUCUAUGACACGCAGUAGAUAAGACUCUGACCUCUCCAUAAAACUGAAAUAAUGCUAGUCCACAUCUGAUGAGCUACUGAAGAAGGAUGACAUUUUGCUGAACUCUUUUCUUGAUAAAUGCAACAGAAUAUAGCAAAAAUCAAUAGUGGAACAGACAUACCUAAAACAUGGUUAUUCUUCAUGUAAGAAAAUGGUUUGAAAACCCUGACUGAACCAUUUGUUAGCCAGAAAAUACAAGGCUUCGGAAUAAAUAUCCAGUGGAUGAACAUAUUCGUAAUUUGGGAAAUCUUGAAAAGUUAUAUGAAGGAAUUUUAUUUAUGGGAAAGUGGUUUAACAAAUACCUGGGUGUAAUACUUAAAGAGAAUCUAAACUAAUCUUGGCUAUGAGGGUUUUUCUUUUGGGCCCCUUUUAUCUUAAGUGAUUGUAUAGUUAUUUAAAAAUUAAUCGUUACAAGAUUCCACGCAUGGAAAAUGUGAAAACUACACAUUUACAGGAUGUACAUGUCAAAAGCCUAUACACUACUACAUCUUGGCAUAUCCAUUCACAUAAAACAUAAGCAGCAAUUAUUCCUUCUGCAGAAGCCGUAGAAUAGAUAUCAAGGACUAAGAAUCUGUGUUCCUUACUGUCCUAGGUAGCAAUAUCUCAAACCUCUCAUUAGAUCUACGAGAAGAUUAUUGCCUGAGAAGAUGUUUUAAUUCAACUUUGGAUGGCUUCUAAAAUGUUAUGUCAGUGACUUUGCCAUGAUGUUUGGCCUUCAGUAAUUUGUACUGAACCUUGAGCCAGAAGGCUCAGUCCUCUGUGCAGGCAUGGAGCAGUGAAGGCUGGUUUCAUCACAUACAUGUAAACAAUUUUAGAACAAAGCUUCCUAUAGGACACAGUAUAAGCACAACACUAGAAAACCUUCCUACACAGAAGUUAAUUAUGGAACUCAAGGUACCCUUCCUGUAUUUUAACUAUGUCCACAGAAUCACAUGAUGCCAUUUAUGCAUAUGAUCAGUCUUAGGGAUAAUGGUAUUGAGAAUCAGUACAUUUAGGGGUAAAUUACUUUAAACUGAGUCCUUGUAAUACAAUAAAGAAGUGAAGGACAGAUUACUAAUACAAUAUUACUUUAAAUUUGUUGUAUGCUUUCUAUUGCUUACGUUGUACCAGGGGCUGUAAAUACAUUAUCACAUUUAAUCUUCAAAAGGACACUGCAAGUUAGAAAUUCCUAUCACCAUUUUACAGAUGGGGAAACUAAGAGUUGGAGGGGUUAAAUGCCUCAUUCAAAGUCUGGUGAGUAAACUGCAGAGCCAGAAUUCAAACCAGGUCUGUUUGACCCCAAACCUGAACUCUUUAAGAUCUAUAUUCUACUACUUUCUAAGUGUCAUUAUUAAUGCUGGUCUCCCAGUUGGGAGACAGACCAGAACUCUCCAAAUAACACUAUGUGGUGUCAAUAAAUUAUUUUAAUCAGGUGUUUAAAAAAAUUCAGGAAUUAUGCUUAUGCAAAUUUUUCAUAGGAAAAUAAUAGUUUCAAUGCAGUUUUCCUGUUACAUAAACAGGAAAGUUUGUCAUGUCGGUUCCAGACAUCUGAGAGAACAGUAAACAAAUAAGGAGAAGACGAUGAGACAGAGCUAGGCAGGU